rnacentral:rRNA from 1 species
CCUACGGGAGGCAGCAGUGGGGAAUAUUGCACAAUGGGGGAAACCCUGAUGCAGCAACGCCGCGUGAAGGAAGACGGUUUUCGGAUUGUAAACUUCUAUCAAUAGGGAAGAAAGAAAUGACGGUACCGAAAUAAGAAGCCCCGGCUAACUACGGGCCAGCAGCCGCGGUAAUACGUAGGGGGCAAGCGUUAUCCGGAAUUACGGGGUGUAAAGGGAGCGUAGGCGGCAAGGUAAGCGAUAUGUGAAAGCCUUAAGCUUAACUUAAGGAGGGCAUAACGAACUAUCUAGCUAGAGUACAGGAGCGGCCAGCGGAAUUCCUAGUGUAGCGGUGAAAUGCGUAGAUAUUAGGAAGAACACCAGUGGCGCAGGCGGCUUUCUGGACUGAAACUGACGCUGAGGCUCGAACGCGUGGGGAGCGAACAGGAUUAGAUACCCUUGUAGUC